rnacentral:rRNA from 1 species
UACGUAGGUGGCAAGCGUUGUCCGGAUUUACUGGGCGUAAAGAGCGCGCAGGCGGCCGGCCAAGUCCGAUGUGAAAGCUCCCGGCUUAACUGGGAAACAGCAUUGGAAACUGUUCGGCUUGAAGGUGGGAGAGGGUAGCGGAAUUCCCGGUGUAGUGGUGAAAUGCGUAGAUAUCGGGAGGAACACCAGUGGCGAAGGCGGCUACCUGGCCCAUUCUUGACGCUGAGGCGCGAAAGCUAGGGGAGCGAACGGG